rnacentral:rRNA from 1 species
UGACCUCGGAUCAAGUAGGGAUACCCGCUGAACUUAAGCAUAUCAAUAAA